rnacentral:rRNA from 1 species
CGAGCGACAGAUAAGGAGCUUGCUCCUUUGACGUUAGCGGCGGACGGGUGAGUAACACGUGGGUAACCUACCUAUAAGACUGGGAUAACUUCGGGAAACCGGAGCUAAUACCGGAUAACAUUUGGAACCGCAUGGUUCUAAAGUGAAAGAUGGUUUUGCUAUCACUUAUAGAUGGACCCGCGCCGUAUUAGCUAGUUGGUAAGGUAACGGCUUACCAAGGCAACGAUACGUAGCCGACCUGAGAGGGUGAUCGGCCACACUGGAACUGAGACACGGUCCAGACUCCUACGGGAGGCAGCAGUAGGGAAUCUUCCGCAAUGGGCGAAAGCCUGACGGAGCAACGCCGCGUGAGUGAUGAAGGGUUUCGGCUCGUAAAACUCUGUUAUUAGGGAAGAACAAAUGUGUAAGUAACUGUGCACAUCUUGACGGUACCUAAUCAGAAAGCCACGGCUAACUACGUGCCAGCAGCCGCGGUAAUACGUAGGUGGCAAGCGUUAUCCGGAAUUAUUGGGCGUAAAGCGCGCGUAGGCGGUUUCUUAAGUCUGAUGUGAAAGCCCACGGCUCAACCGUGGAGGGUCAUUGGAAACUGGGAAACUUGAGUGCAGAAGAGGAAAGUGGAAUUCCAUGUGUAGCGGUGAAAUGCGCAGAGAUAUGGAGGAACACCAGUGGCGAAGGCGACUUUCUGGUCUGUAACUGACGCUGAUGUGCGAAAGCGUGGGGAUCAAACAGGAUUAGAUACCCUGGUAGUCCACGCCGUAAACGAUGAGUGCUAAGUGUUAGGGGGUUUCCGCCCCUUAGUGCUGCAGCUAACGCAUUAAGCACUCCGCCUGGGGAGUACGACCGCAAGGUUGAAACUCAAAGGAAUUGACGGGGACCCGCACAAGCGGUGGAGCAUGUGGUUUAAUUCGAAGCAACGCGAAGAACCUUACCAAAUCUUGACAUCCUUUGAAAACUCUAGAGAUAGAGCCUUCCCCUUCGGGGGACAAAGUGACAGGUGGUGCAUGGUUGUCGUCAGCUCGUGUCGUGAGAUGUUGGGUUAAGUCCCGCAACGAGCGCAACCCUUAAGCUUAGUUGCCAUCAUUAAGUUGGGCACUCUAGGUUGACUGCCGGUGACAAACCGGAGGAAGGUGGGGAUGACGUCAAAUCAUCAUGCCCCUUAUGAUUUGGGCUACACACGUGCUACAAUGGACAAUACAAAGGGCAGCUAAACCGCGAGGUCAUGCAAAUCCCAUAAAGUUGUUCUCAGUUCGGAUUGUAGUCUGCAACUCGACUACAUGAAGCUGGAAUCGCUAGUAAUCGUAGAUCAGCAUGCUACGGUGAAUACGUUCCCGGGUCUUGUACACACCGCCCGUCACACCACGAGAGUUUGUAACACCCGAAGCCGGUGGAGUAACCAUUUA